UCUCUAUCUCUUCAACUUCCUCUCUCUCCCUAAAAAAACCUCUACCUUCAUCUCAUUUCUUCAUCCAUUCACAAACUAAAAUCUCUUCCUCUCUUAAACUCUCUCAUCUUCUCUCAUGGCACCCAAGAAGCCUUCCUACUUGAUCACCGAUGAAGUUUUCAACCUUACCUGCUGGGUUGGAGCCACAAGGUUGAAUGAGUCCCCUCCAUUGCUCUACAAACCACAAAAUCAUCUUUCAAACAAUGCACAGGCUAAAUUGGUUUACAGCCUUACUCGAUAUAGGUAGUGCUAGUCAUCUAUUCUCGUGGUACCAAACUCUAACGGUCAAGACAAAAGCCUUGGUGAAUACGGUUGGCUUCAGGCCACUCUUGUGUCUCCUUCUUAAGGGUGCAGCCAGCGGCAUACUGGUGCAAGCCCUCGUUGAGAGGUGGUGGGAUACUACCCACACUUUCCACAUUGUUGGGAGGGAGAUCACUAUGACUCCUCAUGACUUCCACUAGAUGACUGACUUGAGAUCCCAUGGGCCCAUUAUCAACUUGGAGGGUGAGUUAAGCAUUUUGCUGGGCAUAAACCUGCUAGGGCAUGCCUAACCUAGUGCACGUAUUCGCUACUUUGAUCGAAAGAGGGACUACAGGUUUCUUUCUCAGGCUACUCACGAUGAUUGUGCUUAGAUGGCCAGGGCAUUUCUGCAAUAUUUGCUAAAGGCAUUUCUCUUUGCCAAUGAGGGGCUAGACAGUGUCCCUGAGGUGGCUAGCUUUCUUCUGCGACUUUAAGCAAGCUUAAGAGGUGAACUAGGGUCAUGCUUGCCUAGCCUACCUCUACUCAGUCAUGGACACACUAAGCCAAGGGACUUUGUGGCAGCUAGCAAGGCCUUGGAAGCUCCUUAAGCAUUGGGCCUUAUCCUAUGGCCUCAUCUCCUAUGGCAUAGAUGUGAACUUGAAGGUCUUCCUUUUAGUCCGAGCUCAUCUCAACAGCCUUACCUCUAACUCGAUUGUUUGGGGACAUGCCACAAAUGCCUAUGGAUCCUCUCACAUUCAUGGUUGCCCUACUCUCGAAGUUUGACGUUGUGUACCAGCUGUGGAGGGGAGGCAUUGCCUAUGCUCAACGGCUCUUGGGUGACAUGGACUAUGAUAGGUUCAGUGAGGAUCGCCUCAUGUCUCCUUUUCCCAUUGGGGGUACAGCUGGUCUAGUUGCUAGUGGUCCUAUUGAUCCUCCUUGCCUACCUUGGUCGGUCUAUACCUAUGGCCUAGAUGGGUUUGCUUGGGAGCGUCUCGUGGGGCGUACCCUAAUGUCAUGGGUUCUCCUUUCCUUCAGGGCACACGAGCUCCCACUGUAGCAAAGCAUGAGAUGCUAGUCUGGCUUGCUGGGAACCUCAAGUUGAAGGUGACUGAGUAUUCCAACUAGAUCUAUGGGCGUGGUAGGUAUGCCUAAGUAGGUGACGACGACGAUGAUGACGACGACGAUGAUGAUCCAAAGGCAACCCCAAGCACUCAGCUAAGGAAGAGGCAUUAUCGGAGGCAUUGAGGAGCCGGUUAAAUCUCUACCAAGUUAUGUUCCAUAAGCAAUAGAGCCCUCUAUUAGUCUCACCAGAUCUUUGCUGGGUCAUCCGAGAAACUAAUGAGAGUCGAGAGUUUUGGACCAAUCCUUAGGGGAAAAAAAAAAAAAAAAAGGGAAAAAAAUCAUGUGAAAUCCAGCGUGUCAGAAGACAUGCACGUGACAGUGGAGCGAGAGAGUGUGGUAGGGGUGUUGCUUCCACGCGUGGAUUGUGUAGUGCAGGCACCUGCCAUGAGCCUAGCUCACACUACGUGCCAUUUUGGAAAAAUGUAUGGAGAGUAGUCCACCAAGUCACCCAAACAGUGUGAAAAUUCGACAAUUCAAAAAGAUAUCAAACAUGGAGAAGGAAAGAAACAAGGGGACUUAGGAAAGACUACUGUCCGUCUCUUUAGAAUCUUUUUGUGAUGGGCCAUUAUCCUUGGUUAUAAAUAAUAAGAUCGAUGUAGCUGCGAAGUUCAUAAUAAAACAUUAAUACUAGCUCCCUUCAAUACACUUCCUUAUUAGGUUUUAGAAUUGCACUUCUUUAUUAAGUUCAUACAGUUCCAAUGGUGAUAUUUAAUAGCAGCAAACCUGCUGGAUUUUCCAAGUUGGUCGUCAGCUAUGACCGCAGUGUGACCAGGGUCGCAACCUAUGAAGAAAAUGAUGGGGAUGACGAUGAUGACGAUGAUGAUGGAAAAAAUGUGGCGCCAGCAGCAUAGUUAUUUUCAUGAUGAGUUCUACUUUCUACUAGUAGUAGUAGUAGUCUUUUUGAUAUCAUGGAGGAGGGUUGAAGAAAAUAUUAGAAUCCUUCAAUAUGUUGCACCAACUACGUAGCAAUCAUGUGGAAUUGUACGUAGUUUUCUAUUUUUCUAUCAAUAAUGUAUGGUAGUAGUCAUGUCUGAGUUUUACUCAUAUAAUAAGGUUAUCAAUAUAUAUAGCUAGUGACCUGAAUGUUUACACUAGUAUCGAAUCAAUACAGUUAGACAUAUAUACCUAUCUAGUUUUAUCACGAUACUACUCUGUUUCUCUCUCAAACUAGCAUGCAAUUUGAAAUGUUUAUUAGACAGUCUUUUCUCUUUCCUCUCUCGUCUCUCCUCUCUCCAUCUCAGGUAUUUUGCGCUUGCAAUGCACUUACAAUACUGUACAUACCGAUUAAAAAAACAGGAAAGAUGACCCACAAAGAACUAGUUCUCAAAUUAUUGACUGAGGGGAAUGGUCAAAAUCAAGCUCCAAAAGCUUCUUGUGUGAGAUCCUAGACCCAUUGAUCGUAGCGUUUUGACAGAACAAGUGAAUCAUCGAUUUGAGUUACUUUGGAACCCUAGAGGCCAGGAUCCUCCUAGCACACUAAAUUGUUGAUGUUGCCAUGAAGAGUAGACACAUCGAGAUCCUAUGGUAGAUGAGCAUGUGAUUGCCAUAGUGAGGUUGCUUGGUUUAGAGCGUCUACACAUGGUCCCAUCCAUAAAGCUUGAUCAUGCAUUGAUCAUUGCAUUUGUAGAGCGAUGGCACCCAGAGACCCAUUCUUUCCACCUUCCACAUGAUGAGAUAACGAUCACAUUACAAGAUGUGGAAGUUAUAAUGGGGAUGCCCAUCGAGGGUGAGGCAAUGGUUGGAUUCACUAAAAGAACUUGGAAACCAUGUGCAAUGAAAUGCUUGGAAUUCAAAUUCCAAAUGAAAAUAAAACCAUACUAGAUGGUCAAAGGAUUCAAAUAAAAGUGCUCGUUGACUGAAUUGCACAACCGUUGCCUCCAGAUGCCAAUGAGUUAUAGGUUCAUUACUAUGCUCACUACUAUGUACUAGCCCUACUAGUGAGUUAUAGGUUCAUUAGUAUGCUCACUACUAUGUACUAGCCCCACUAAGGGAUAUGGUAUUUGUUGACAAGUCCGGAGAUAGGGUCCACCUCAUGUGGUUGGAGUUCAUGGAGAACCUUCAUAAUCCACCUAAGCAUAGUUGAGAUAGUGCAUCCCUAUCAUGGUUGUAUAGAUAAUUGUGAAAGGCAA